rnacentral:lncRNA from 1 species
ACGUACACCUUGAGCAUCUUCUCCAUCAACUUGUAGCUCCUGAAGGAGAGAGAAGACGCUCUGCUUUUAAUUAAUCGCGGCCUCCUCAGGUUUUCUCAGAACAGAGCGGAGCCGCCGGCGAGGUUUUUCAGUUCCCCCGCAGACCUUUUUUUUUACCUCUUGAAGGUGGAUAAAUUACGGUAAACAGGUGGGUAGAGUUCUGGGUCGUCCUCUACGAUCGGCGCGUUGAGGAUCUCUCUCCUGGCUUCAAGAAUCUGCUGAUCAAUCGGAGAAGCCCAUCUCGGAACCUGCAACAGCGCGUGAAUCGAAACCGUAAGACGACGCAAUCCUCUCCGAA